rnacentral:lncRNA from 1 species
GUUUAUUGCACAAAAGGGUGUUAAAUUCCUCUCUGAUUUUAUUAGGAUAAAAUCGAAUGAAUGGAAAGAUGUAAAUAUUCAAAUAUUCAAAUUGGAAUUUUUGGGGAAAGUAGUUCCGGCAAAUCAACAUUUUUAAAUAUUUUUCGUUGAUUAAAAAGAGGUGACGAAGGAUUUGCCGACCAGGGUUAUAAAGGUAAUACAACUAAAAAAGCAACAAAAUACACAAUAAAGGACAAUCCUAACAUCACAUUUACGGAUGGUGUUGGUUGCGGAACAAUACAAUAUGAGAGAGGUUCUGAAUAUUUUAAAUAGCUGUAAAUAGAGAAUCUUGAUUUUGU